UUUCAAUUUUGUACUCCUAUAUAUAGGAAAAAGACAUCGAUGUAGACACCAAAUUCACUAAUAUAUCAUCACCCGCAUACGACGCCGCCGCCGCCUCUUGUGCCAUUGUAAAGCCCUAAUGGUUCCAUCCUCCGCCGUGGUCUCGCCGAAACCAUCGAUCCCAGAAGGAGAUGAUGAGGAGUACGAGAUCGUCUACGAGGAAAUCGAAGUGGAAGAGGAGAUUGAAGUCGAAGAAGAGGUAGAGGAAGAAGACGAUGUCGGAGCCGAUCAUGUCGAAAAUGGAGGGGAUGUUGAAAUUGGAGAGGAUCUAACUGCUUCGAGCCUAAAAAAUCUGGAAACUGAUACUGGUAAGAUUCUAGAGCUUGAUGAGCAGAAACACGAUAGACAAUCAAGUUCCUUUACUGAAGAAUUUUUGGUUUCAAAAAUUGGAGAUGUGAAACCUUUUGAGUCUCGUGAAAAAGAAGAAUUAUACGGCAAUGGGGGAGAAAUCUCUACAUACAAUCAGGAAAAAAUACCUUUGAAUGACAGUACAGAAGUAAAUCAUGCCAAAACCUCUCCUUCCAUUGGAGAUGUUAAUGCCACAUCCACAAUGGAUAAUGCUUCUGGGGAGAAUGAUAGUGCUAUUGCAUCAAUCAUGGAAAAAACCGACCAGACUGCUUUAGAAGGUGUUGGCAAUAUAUCACCCAGGUUGCAUGCUGCAAAAAUAAGGUUUAGGAAUCCUUCACCCAGUGCUGAAAUUGAUCGUGAGAGCAAAAAAAUAAGGAUGGUGUGUGAAUUUCAUGCCAAAGGAUGGUGCAUCAGAGGAAAGUCUUGUAGAUUCCUUCACACAAAGGAAGCACCAGAUGCAGUGAUAAUAAAAAGUGAAGCCUUGGGGAGGGAAGCAGCAUCUUCUAAUGCAUUUAUUCCACCCCUACAAAGUGGGGACACAAAUUUAAGUAGCGAGACAGAAAAGCUGGUUCUUCCUGAAGAUGGUACCUAUCCGGGUGCUCCUACACGGGAAGAUAGGAGUGUCAGGCACAACUUAUAUCUGGAUAAUUGCCAGAACUAUGGCAGUCCUCCUGUCCAAGGAAUUUUAAAUGCUAGAGAUGGUCUGGAGCAUCAUGCUUACAUAUCCUCUUCAAUGCAACAAAGUAUUCCGCAAGCUUUUCGUUCUGAAUCAGAUUCUCUGUUGCGUGAUGGUAGUUUCAGGGAACCCAAGCCACCCAAGGUGGAGGCUACUUUCUCUUCUUUUGAUUGGCAGCUAUCUGCUCUUUUCUGCCCAUCUUAUGAGAUAACUCGAAGCAUAUUGUUGAAAGAAUGUGGCUAUGACAGCGCUGAUCAGAAAUAUGUUAUGGAUAUCCAGGCGAUAUUUUCACAUUCUGACCAGGGAUCAUCUGAUAAGAAUGUAACUGUUCAGUCAAGCAGUCCUCAAGGGGAGGAAAAACUUUUGAAUUAUGUACUUGCUGGUGAUAAUGGGAAGGAAAAUAUAUUGAGCUCUAGCAAUGAUGAUAAAGUGAAACUCAAUAAGACAGUGGAUGGAACAAUAUCUGAAGUUGGCGGAUCAGGCACAAAACAUGAUAUUGAAGCUGACUUUAGGCAAGAUGAUCAUGUGCAAAGUGAUACGAAGGCUUUCAAAUAUUUCCAAUCUGCACUAAUAGAAUCUGUGAAAGAAUUAGUGAAACCAACUUGGCGGGAAGGCUUUCUAAGCAAAGAUGCCCAUAAAUUGAUUGUUAAGAAGGCUGUCAACAAGGUUCUUAGUUCUUUGCCAGCCCACCAAAUUCCUAGCACAGAAGAAUCUGUCCAGUCAUAUCUUUCUUCAUCUCAGCCCAAACUUGCAAAGCUAGUUGAGGGAUACCUCAAUAUUUAUGGCAAAAUUUGAGAAUGUUGAAUGAUUAUGCUUGUGCUGUACUCUCCGCAAAAGGAAAGUUUUGAUCCCUUUAUGGUGGGCCCUUUAUGCUUCUUCCUUUUAUCAAGAGAUAUCUAAUUUAUUGGUGAAAACUUCCAAAACCUUGAUCAGGUUCAAGAGAUAUCUAUAGUGCAAGUUUCCAAACAGAAUUUUGGGACUUUGUAGAGGGUCAUCAGGAUGCUACACCCCAUGCAUAUGCCAUCAAGAUAGGCCUAAACUAGUCCAGAUUUUCUCAUUAAAGACACUCACUCAUGAAGGUGCAUGGCAAUCAAAUUUGAAGUCUAAAAAAUGCAUGCGCACCAGGUAGAGCAUCAGCAAGCCUUCUUUGAGAAUCAGGUGCUUCUGUUGGCGUGGUUAGUAUGAAGCAAAGAAGUCUCUCAUGGGCCCUUCCAGUUUUAUUUAUAUCUGUUAAUUGUCUUAUUGCCAUGGGAUCACUGCGUAGGAGUUAAUAGUAGAUCAACAGACAAGCCAUUAGCAAUUGCAAGCUCAGCUGAUAGAAGUGAUGAGAUGUGGAAAGUGAAGUCUGUUAUUGUACACUUUCCUCACUGCGAUGUGUGUUGUUUGAUGCUUUGGGUUGGUUGACUGGAACGACAAUCUCUGCAAGGGGUGGCAAAUGAUGAUAGCAGCUUCUGACUGAAACUUUUGUCUCCUGCCGACUGCUUCUCAUUUGCUCUCCUUUUGGCUUGGGAAACUUGCUUCCUGCUGCUACUUUGGUGAUUUGGCUGCUUCACAUCCGACUCUCUCCUGUUCCGAGGAAUUUGUAGGAAACUCUCCAAUGGUACUUUCUUAGAAGCUCGAUGCCGUGAACUCCGUAUUGUAGUCGCUUGCUGGUAGUUUGAAAUUGAUUUACCAGGUGAACAGUUGUUUGGGCUCACAUUCAUCGAGCCAACAUUGGAGCAGCUGAAUUCGAACUCCUGGUGGUCUUCUUUCUUUUCUUUUGAGUUGAUGAGGCCUGCAAAGGAAAGCUCGAGGGGAAAUCUGCUGCAACAUCUGGGAACAUUUUCUUCGGCAUGGUGAACUACUGGACUUGUGUUGACAGAUAGCUGCAUUUUAAAAUAAUUUUCGGAUGCCUCAAUUUAGUUGCUGAAAGAAAAGUAUUGAAAGAAGUGGUUGUUGAUUCAUACGAGGUUGGAUGUGGGAGACUCCGAAACAAGCUUGAAACCGACUCCAAAUGUUGGUGCUACUGCUUAAACUCAUCUACUGUCACUUUCAAAUGGAGUUCGGUAAAAGGUGAAUUGUCCAAUGUGAUCUGCAUCCUAGCCGGCCUUUGCAAAAUUACUUGUUCAAAAUUUCACUGUUAUGAAAAUUUGCAAACCAAAUGAGCCGGAACGAUUUGUUUUUAGAAUAUGUUUUUCACUUGAAUUUGUGGGUGUGGUGACUCCAACUUAGAAUAUGAUCAAUAAUGGUUUUUCAUUUGAA